GUGUCCUCAGCUCUCAGGCUGUUCAUCUGCAGAUACAGCGUGUUCUUGCCGUUGUCUCUGGAGAUGGUGAAUCUGCCCUUCACAGAGUCUGCAUAGCUUGUGCUACGACCAUCACUAUUAAUGUAA